rnacentral:sRNA from 1 species
GUCUGCAAACCGGAAGUGCUGCACGGUCGCUUGCGAUCGAGGAAGCUGAA